AAAUUGAAGAGUUUGAUCAUGGCUCAGAUUGAACGCUGGCGGCAGGCCUAACACAUGCAAGUCGAACGGUAACAGGAAGCAGCUUGCUGCUUCGCUGACGAGUGGCGGACGGGUGAGUAAUGUCUGGGAAACUGCCUGAUGGAGGGGGAUAACUACUGGAAACGGUAGCUAAUACCGCAUAACGUCGCAAGACCAAAGAGGGGGAC
rnacentral:rRNA from 4 species